rnacentral:rRNA from 1 species
GAUGAACGCUGGCGGCGUGCCUAAUACAUGCAAGUCGAGCGAACGGACGAGAAGCUUGCUUCUCUGAUGUUAGCGGCGGACGGGUGAGUAACACGUGGAUAACCUACCUAUAAGACUGGGAUAACUUCGGGAAACCGGAGCUAAUACCGGAUAAUAUUUUGAACCGCAUGGUUCAAAAGUGAAAGACGGUCUUGCUGUCACUUAUAGAUGGAUCCGCGCUGCAUUAGCUAGUUGGUAAGGUAACGGCUUACCAAGGCAACGAUGCAUAGCCGACCUGAGAGGGUGAUCGGCCACACUGGAACUGAGACACGGGCGAGACGCCUACGGGAGGCAGCAGCAGGGAAUUUUAGGCAAUGGUCGAAAGCCUGACGGAGCAACGCCGCGUGAGUGAUGAAGGUCUUCGGAUCGUAAAACUCUGUUAUUAGGGAAGAACAUAUGUGUAAGUAACUGUGCACAUCUUGACGGUACCUAAUCAGAAAGCCACGGCUAACUACGUG